AGACCCGAAACCCGGUGAUCUAGCCAUGGGCAGGUUGAAGGUUGGGUAACACUAACUGGAGGACCGAACCGACUAAUGUUGAAAAAUUAGCGGAUGACCUGUGGCUGGGGGUGAAAGGCCAAUCAAACCGGGAGAUAGCUGGUUCUCCCCGAAAGCUAUUUAGGUAGCGCCUCGUGAAUUCAUCUCCGGGGGUAGAGCACUGUUUCGGCUAGGGGGCCAUCCCGGCUUACCAACCCGAUGCAAACUGCGAAUACCGGAGAAUGUUAUCACGGGAGACACACGGCGGGUGCUAACGUCCGUCGUGAAGAGGGAAACAACCCAGACCGCCAGCUAAGGUCCCAAAGUCAUGGUUAAGUGGGAAACGAUGUGGGAAGGCCCAGACAGCCAGGAUGUUGGCUUAGAAGCAGCCAUCAUUUAAAGAAAGCGUAAUAGCUCACUGGUCGAGUCGGCCUGCGCGGAAGAUGUAACGGGGCUAAACCAUGCACCGAAGCUGCGGCAGCGACACUGUGUGUUGUUGGGUAGGGGAGCGUUCUGUAAGCCUGUGAAGGUGUGUCGUGAGGCAUGCUGGAGGUAUCAGAAGUGCGAAUGCUGACAUAAGUAACGAUAAAGCGGGUGAAAAGCCCGCUCGCCGGAAGACCAAGGGUUCCUGUCCAACGUUAAUCGGGGCAGGGUGAGUCGACCCCUAAGGCGAGGCCGAAAGGCGUAGUCGAUGGGAAACGGGUUAAUAUUCCCGUACUUGGUGUUACUGCGAAGGGGGGACGGAGAAGGCUAUGUUGGCCGGGCGACGGUUGUCCCGGUUUAAGCGUGUAGGCUGGUUUUCCAGGCAAAUCCGGAAAAUCAAGGCUGAGGCGUGACGACGAGGCACUACGGUGCUGAAGCAACAAAUGCCCUGCUUCCAGGAAAAGCCUCUAAGCAUCAGGUAACAC
rnacentral:rRNA from 1 species